rnacentral:tRNA from 1 species
CAAAGCAUAGCUAAAUUCCAUAGCCUUUCCCUUACUCCGAAAAAUUGCUUGUGUAAACCAAGCUGCUUUGA